UACGGAGGGUGCAAGCGUUAUCCGGAUUCACUGGGUUUAAAGGGUGCGUAGGUGGGCAGGUAAGUCAGUGGUGAAAUCUCCGGGCUUAACCCGGAAACUGCCGUUGAUACUAUUUGUCUUGAAUAUUGUGGAGGUAAGCGGAAUAUGUCAUGUAGCGGUGAAAUGCUUAGAUAUGACAUAGAACACCAAUUGCGAAGGCAGCUUACUACGCAACGAUUGACGCUGAGGCACGAAAGCGUGGGGAUCAAACAGG
rnacentral:rRNA from 1 species